AUACUGCAGAGCUGAAUCACAAUGGGCUUACAACAGUUUCAAUGCUUACAGGAGGACAUUUUUACUGGAUGGACCAUACCCUUACCCUUUCAGCUGAGUGGUGUUUGGAAUGUACUUUCUGACUCCGGCCUCAAAAAUGUACCAUAAUCCUUCCUUAAAUUGGAAACACACUACAUACAGUUAAAAGUUUCUACUCCAAUCAGCCUCACCGACACACAAAACAUUACAAACAGUUUUAAUGAGGGGCUUAAAACACGAUAAACAAAUUCACUGGAACAGAACACCAAAUUAAAAUUUCACAUUCAAUAAAACAGAUUUCAUAUAAAGAAAGAGUGGUUUAUUUGCAUUUUAGUAAAACAAACUAUACCAAACGAAUAAUAUAAAUUAUAACACAACUUGCCUAAACAAAAAGAAAGCAACAAGUAAGGGUGCUCAUUCAAAUGCAGUAACCGCCGGAUCAUACAAUUCUGAAAAUAGAUCCUAUAGAUAAAAAGCUAGGCUUGCAUUACACCAUAUUAAUUUAAAUUCCAUGCGCUAAUGUUUCCACAGUGUAAACAUACCCACAGAUGUUUCUCGCGCGGUGAGUAUAUUUUUAAAGGCUUAAUAAAAUAUAAUGUUUCUCCAUUCCCUCUAACGACAUAAAUCACAUUUUAUGAACAGCUCAUAAUAACACAAGGCUUUCUGCACGUUUUGCUUCAUAAUAUGUUGUUGGCAACUUUAACCAAGAUAGUGUUUAGUUCUCCACGGCAACAAAUUAUAUAUACAAAAUUAAGCCAUACAGCAGGUAACAAGAGAAUUUAAUAAUCGUAUAACCUUUUUAUUUAUACAGAAAAAAAGAAUCUGUAAAAUCCAUUGGUUUAAUAAAAUGCAUUUCUCUGUUUUUAAUGAAAUAAUUAAAAUUGGAGCUUUAUGUUUUCCUGUUAAUAACGGAUGUGCCAGUUUGGUACCUUGGCUAAGAGAUAUUCGUAGCAAGCCAAGAGUUAAUUGAGCCAACAGAUGAUGAAGUGCAUAUCACUCCCCUCCUUACAAUACAGGGCAUGGGAGGCCUGCGACAGCAGGCGCUGCAGGCAAAAUCUCAGUCUGAUCGCCAGCUCAGCUGUCAUACUACAUAGAAGCAGACAAGAAACCUCUGCUAGCUGAACAGCUGUCUUAUUUAAUAGAUUGCCCAGUUCACUGCUUCCAGACAUCAUCAUUUUUUUUUUUUCUACAGCACUCCAAUCCACUUUGCACACUUCAUUGUAGGUUCCAUUUCAAGUUUACUACGGCUGGAGGGGGUGAGAGAGAAAAAUGAUUACGCCGAACACCUCCUCCUGCAAAAACAGAUCAGAAAAUGGUAUUAUCCCGGACGCACAUUUUGCAAUCAGGUAAGCCAAGGCGAUCGUAAUUAAUGGAUCUCGGUUCUGUACUGUCGUUGGAUGUGGUUGUGAUUUCGGUAGAGAAGAAAUGUGUCGCUGAAGGGAAGCGGAGAGAUGACAGCAGCUGGAGAACCCGGAAUGUGGACGGUUUAUUUAAAGCUAUAAAUGGCUUAGUUUAAUAUUCUGCGUAAAUCGUGAUUUUAAUGAAUGCUGGGGAAAAAAAAAAAAAUCUAGCGGAUGAGUGCCAAAAAAAAUGUGUGUAAGUAAUAAAUAUGCAUAUAAGAGAGCUUUUUUUUCCUUUUUCAUCUGUGUAAUCUGUUAGCUAAGAUGGGAGUUGAGUAAGCACAGCCAAUGUUAGGAUUUGCCUUUUCAGAAUAAAAAGAGCAUGUGGUUCUUUUCAUAGGAUUAAUGCCAGUUUCUUGCUGCAGGUGCACUUGUGGUGUGACCACAGGAGGGAGGCAAUAACUGACAUCCUCCCCUAUUCAAUUCACAGUCAAAAGAGUGUUUGUAAUUCAAUGGUUAGCUUGCAAAGCCCAGCCCAUAUGGUAACUGCUUGGCAUAGAAUAGAGAGAGUUGUACAGUAGAAAAAGCAGCAUGCGUUCUGCCUAUUCAUCAAUAUACUCUAAAUGGAUGUGGAUUUUUUUUCCUCUCUCCUUUAAUUUGUUUUCAUUUAAUGCGAACAACAAAGGGUUGCACACGGAGGACAACAAAGCUGUCUAAUUGCUAGACCACAACUACAAUGCACCUCGCAGAGUUUUUCUCUUAUGCUGGGUAUCUUUCACUUAGGAGAAUUCUAAAUUAUUCCACACUCACUCAACUGAGCCACAUAGAUUGUUACUAAAUAUCUUGAGAUCUCUAGCAUAUUAUAAUAUAUACCCAUAUUUAAGGGUUUAUUACCUUUGCCCCAAUGAUAACAUUAGAGGUAUGCAUACAUACACUGGUGUAUUCAGUGCUUUACAACUGACAGUAGAACAUAUGGGAGGAACUGUAAGUUAGGAAGGUGUGGCAACAUUGUUACCAGAGAUCCUCGAUCCAGAAAGUUAACAAUCUAGAUAGGAGUGUAGCAUGAUUUUUAUCCAUAAUUUUCACAUAAAGUUAAUAAUUAAGUUAUUUGCCCAAUACCUAUAGAUAUUAUGGUAGCAGAUCAUAGUAGAAAGUGUAUCUACUUCUUAUUGAUAAAAUGUGAAUUAUUUCUUUAAUAGCCAAAUAUAUUGGAAUAAUCGUUCGUACUAAACUGAAGAGUAAAAUGAAAUAUAGGCGGGCAAUGGGAAGUGAAAUUAAACUAUAAACUUAUCCUUGCAGAACGGUACAUCCAUCAUUUUUUUACAUAGGGGGAACCUACAACAAAGCCGUGUAUAAGGACACAUAACAAAGGGAGGCAUAAACUUACAUGGUAUUCUUCUGGUAUCUGUGUUGUUCCCCCGGCCACAGGAAUGUAAGACCCUAUAUAUCCAUUGACCCUUUGUAUCCAGUGAAUGCAUGGAUUGCCUUUUAGGCAAGAAGAGGGAGAUUAAGAAGAAUAGAUCAUCGUGCCAUAGUGCCUGAGACAUGACAAAGCAUACUGCAUCAAGCCACCAACUACAGAGGGACACAAAGAGAAUAUGAGUCACCAUUGUGCAACAUACUGUAUAACUAACACUAUGAGAAUAGACGUGACUAAUCCAUACAUUCCUCACACUAGACAUGCUGUAAAAUGAAAAAAAGAGGAUGUGGCUGGUAUUUAAAAUUAGAUCAGUGUUUUUAUAUCUACACACUUUAAUGGAUAAAUGACAGUCUUUAUUAUUUGUUCAGAACUGUUUGUGAACACUAUGCAAGUUAUCUCCAUUCAAAUUAUGGGAUUGUUGCACUAAAUACUGCAAAGAUUUCCAAAUGUAGGCCAGAAUAAAUUAUUCCAAUUUGCUAAUUUAGGUUUAAGUUGAGUAACUCUGUUAUAAACUCUUUGCAACCUAUCGUUUAUUGAACAGAACCCAUGUGGGCUAUAUUUAGAAGCAGCACAUUUUUGGACAGUAAUUGGAAUCUAUUGUUAAAGAAACUAUUGUAAACAAAAAAAAUAAACAACAGUUCCCUUUAAACGCUUGAAAUAUAGUACUCUGCACCAGACUUGCUUUAUAUACGUGUGUGUUAUGUUAUUUUUGUGAUGUAUCUCAUAUUACAAAUUGACAAUGAUUGGUGUGAUUGCUUCAGUAUUGGUAAUUGAAAAAUUCACAUAUUUAUAACGUAGCAAGCAAAAGUCAGAUUACAAAAACAAGAACAGGAAGAUUAUUCCAGAAUACAUCACUACUCUAAUGUUUUAUUCUCUGUGUCUGAAGUGUUCCGCAGAAUUAAAAAUUUUGCACAGAAACGUUCUCUAACUUUUUUCCGCAUUUAUAUUUAAUUUACAAUAAUGUGUCCUGAAAUAUUAUUUCCUCACAUAUUUAUAUGCUCUAAAAGAUAUUUAUUAAAUAGCCUUUCCUGUUUAUAAUGGGGCAGGCAAUAAAUCUUUCAGGCUUGUAUGCUUGAGGUGCAAUAUAUACUGUACGAUAAUACGGCAAAGCAUGCUCAUUUGUCAGAUGGCCUGCGGCCAUAAAAAACACAAUAAGAGCUGCAAAUGACCAGUGACCUUCUCUGUGCAUUGAACUUUAUUCACACAUAGGGGGCUCCUGCAAAGUCUAGCAAGCUAUUCACAAAGCAGGAGAUAAGAAAUUCUAAAUUAAACAGAAUUUGCAAUAAAGGAAUUGUAAAUAUUAGAUAACUCUUUAUGACUGCAUAAACAAUGUGAUUUUUCUCCUAAAUGGCAGAGAACUGAGCAAUGACACUGCAGGGACAUGAUUUAUACACCAAAGAUGCUUAAUUAAGCUAAAGAUGUUUUGGUGACUUUUAAAGUCAACUACGGACACCAAAAAGAAAUGGAAGCCUUAUUUUACUAUCACCUACUCUAUUGACAGAGUCAGAACUUGUCAUAUGUUUAUUAAUAUGUUUAUUGAUGUUUUAGUGAUAGCACAGAAUCUGCAACACUAGUAUAUAAUAAUUGAAUAUAAGCUAUGGCCCAUUUUUGCUCAGAACCCAGAACUGGAUGCAGGGGUGCCAGACGAUCACCCUGGCCGAUGCAUUGCAACUGUUGCUGCUGGAACAAUUCUUUGAUCACACACCACCAGAAGUCUGCAAUUGGGUUCGGGAUCGGAAGCCGCUCACCAUGGAGGAAGCAGCGCGGUUGGCUGAUGAGUAUCAGAAUGGUGGGAGGGCUGAAAACAGCAGAGGUCGCCUCCACCAAAUGAGAUGAACCACCUGUACCCAGAGUGGUACAUUCAUCUGAAAAGUCUCCCGUAAUCACGCAAGGUUUGUGUGAAUAUAGCGCUAUCUCUAUCGCAUACCCAAACAUCAGUCGAGACUAGAUGAAGGGUACAAAAGGACUGGUUUAUUAUGGCUAAGUUGCCUUUUUAUAUACACAGAACCACAGCAUGGGGUCCCCAGUAAAAACAUAGGUAAGCCUGCCCAUGCGUCUCUGUGUCUGGGAAAUAAGUGAGUUUGCUUUUGCUUACACUAAUUAUCUCCCAGGCACUCAAGGUACAGUACAGAGCACAUAAAACACCCCAAAACACACAUAAUAUUGAUAGGAACCCCAAAAGUCGAAUAUCCCCUGAUAGCCCAGAUCUGAGCACCCAAGUUGUCAAAAUAGCGCUCAGAUCCCUGCAGUGUGGACGGAUCACCACCUGGUAAAGUUUUGACUGACCCCACACGUGGCUGCUGCUCAAAAUAGUUUCAUAAAAAAAGAGGUAGCAGCCAGUCAAUCUUCGGGAGUUCCUAUGUGAAUUCAAAUAAAGGAUCCACCUGGCUCACAUGGAGCAAAUGUUCCCUUCGUUCGGGAGUGUCUUUUCCCCAAACAGCACUCUCCUGGCUUGUGAGAGAAACAGUGCAAUGUUCACGGGGUUCGCGUGUUAAGCUAUCCGUCAUAUAGUUCCACGCACUCGACGACCAAGCACCGAACUAAAGGGGAAACAGAUUGGGUUAGGUGAAAUGGGGAAAGUUAAAACAGGGAAGUUCUUCACAACCAUGCUUGUCAAUAGUGAAUGAACCGCACACAAUGGGAUCCUCUCAUUUAUAACCCUUUAACUGUAAACCUCACUGCUAAGCAUGUUGUCCUGAAAACAUUUUGUUGUAUAGUGAGACAAUGUACAAUUAAGGGGUAACCUAUCUAAAGGAGACUAUGGUGGACCGCCUGGUACCCCGACUGGGUACCUCCGCCAAACACGCUCCUUAGCUAUCACAGAGACACCAUCAGCACUUCCACCUCUAGCUACCGCAGCUUGGCUGGGGUCCCCCCGUUGUUUCCCACCCUGGAACAGGGUUCUGUAUACAGCUUCCUGUGAUCAAAGCUCUCCUGCAGAGAGUACAGCUGUGUAGUGAUUAGAGCUGCCAAUUGAUAAAAGCUCUGGAGUGAGUAUAACCUUCCCCCACAGACAUUAGCCGAGACUUAAUGCUGGGAGUGAACAGGAUAAUGGGGCAUGGUACAGGCAAUUUAUACACAGACCCUCAGCAGGGGGUCUCCAUAAAAUUUGGCAGCCUAGUUCAAUCCUACUGAACAGCGGUCUUCUGAGAUGUACGGAAACUAAAACAGGCGAGGUUGGAAGUUCAGCGGUGCUUGCGAGUUAGUCUGUCCAAUUUCAGUUCUAUGCACUCGACAACCGAACACCACUGCCUGCGUUUGUGCAACAAGAUGGCCGCCAACUCAUUUUCCACAUGUGCGUUCAUGUGAACGGCGGCCGAACACUUGUGAUAACGUGUGAAAGGAUGAUGGAGAUGUCAGGAGAGGUUAAGAGGGGUUAACAAGCCCAGAGGUGGCACACAAUUUUUGAGUUUGUUUGGUUCCCGAAGUGAAAAGGGAAAACACAUGAACCAAGUAUUUUGAGGGUUGCUUACAUAGUCCAUAGUCCUUGGGCAGGAGGCUAGCUAGCAGGCUCCUCCAGGAGGUUGUGGCAUAGGCAUAUUUGCCACAGAGACAUUUAUGGGGAGGGAGGACACUGGUACGGAUGGUAUGGAGACAUGUGGGCGGACCUUCAAGAGGGAGGACACCAAAGAACAAAAAUGGAACAGUGAGACAGGUAGAAGGACCUUCAAUGGUUAGGGACACCAGUAAACAAAAUUGGAAUGGCAGGACAGGAACCUAAAACAGCAGGCCAGCUGGAAGUCCUGGAUUUAUCAUGGCAAAUUAGUUGCAGUUCUAGGAAAAAUGCUUAAUGCUGAGAGUCAUUCUAUAGGUUUCCAUGGUAAUUGCUUCUUAUAUAGCAUACUGCUCCAGAAUAUAAUUAAUCUCACCUUUAGAAAACUUAUCUUAAGACACGUCAGUUUUUAUUUCAGAUGCAAUAAUAUUGGGCAGUUAGAGGUGUGUCAUUUUCAAAGUGUAUGAAUACAUACACUUGAUACAGACAGUACUGAGAAUGGAGAACAUGUAUUGAAUUAUACAAAUACUUUAAAUUGCUUUCAAAUGUAAGCAAAUGACUUUGGCAUAUUGAUACAUGAUCCAAACUUUUGCAUUGUAGACAGCUUCAUACCAAUAAGCCCAGUCAUAGAACUAUGCAAAACCACAGGGUUAGUGGUGUAAUUGAUAUAUGCAUUUCAUAUGUAUAUCAUAACCUGCCAAAAUACUGUAAGCUUCAUUUAUAUGCAAAAUUAUGCACCACAAUUUGGCAUAGCAUCGCUGGAAAGAAAUUCCUCUAAAUGUUUCCUUGUAUAUCCUUGUAUAAUUUAGUCAAAAGCAGCAAACUACAAAGUGAUCUUUUUAUCCAAUGCUGAUCCUCGUAUCAUCUUUUACCUGAUAGGCAUGGUCAUUAUGCAUUCUUCCUACAGGCACCUGGUUUCUAUGUUUUACAAUUGGGGCGUUUUUUAUACUCCUACAAAGCUCCUUGCUCGUGAUGUAAUUGUGUUGUUUUUUUUUAUAGGAGGGAGCAUUGGGAAUACCCUGUAUGCUACUUUUGCAGUAAAGGGUUUGCCCUUUUAGAAUUUUCUUAUUAAUUAUUACUUUUAUAUAUAUUUUUUAUAUAUAUAUAUAUAUAUAAAAAUAUGGGCAGACUAGAUGGGCCGAAUGGUUCUUAUCUGCCGUCACAUUCUAUGUUUCUAUAUUUCUAUGUUGGGAUCAUGUUGACUGUGCUAGGAUUUACAGUUUUUCAAGUGUUCGAGAGCCGUAGCUACCAGAAAAUAUCUCACCAUUAUUAUUUCAAAUCGAUCCACCAGGACUUGCACUGAUGAUUUAUGGCUUGGGUGUUCUGCCGGAUCUCACGGUAUGAUGGGUCCGGAGGUUACCCUUCCUGUGUCUGUGCUGUGUGGUGAUAGUCCCAAUGAUCUGUCACAAAUUCAAUCCGUUUGGCGGGGUUAACAGGUACCGCCCACCCUGAUUACGUCAAUGUGUACCACAUAUGUACGUAGUACGCAAGUCCUGGUGGAUCGAUUUGAAAUCCCUGAUACCAAGCAUUUGUGAGUAGCGGAGCCACUCUGCCCGCAUAAAUCUCACCUACUUUUAUCUUGUAAGCAGUAUUGAACCAUUUUUUUUCUUACUUUAUUGUCAUUAAAUUUGUUCUUUUUUAUUUAUUAUUGAUUUACUGUACGGUCAUUUAUGUAUUCUUUUCUUUUACAUGUCAUCGAGAAUUAUCUCCUGGCAUAUAAGUAUACAUCUUAUAUAUUUUUUUUUUCACCUUCACACAUAAGGUGUAUAGGUGGAUUCUCCUGUGAUUUGCGCUCCACUUAUCUCUAAUGUUUUGUAAACUAAAUUUAAAGGUUGACUGUACAAAUAGCAACUGUUUUUUAUGUAAAUACAUGUAACAGUGAUAUUUAGGUUUCUGAUUUAUUAUAGAUUAGUUAGAUAUCCACUAAAUGUCUGGCUGGUUACAAACUUUAAAAAGUUUAGUUGAACAACUCCCUUUAAAAAGACAAUGGACUCUGUGUAAUAGUGUAUGAGAUACGUAUGGUCCUAAAGGUAAGUGCUGCUAUAAAGGCCAUAUUUAUUUGCAGUAACUGAGACCAAGACAGAGAUUAACUGUUCACUUACUCUUGUUAUCCUUGGAAGAAACACAUAUUAACAUGCAUAUUUACUUUCUAGCACAGGCAUUACACACACAGUCUCUCAUUUUCACCUUAAAGCACCCUCACAUGGAUCUCCAUGGCGUUCUAUUAAGCAGGGGAAGCCCAACAAAUGCUUUUCCUGCUGAAUAUCCCAAUGAGAUGAGGUUUAUAAGAUGGGAGGUGAGGAAAGGGAUUCCCAAGGUCUAAUACUGUGCCUCUCUUCUAUAGAGCAAAGACCAAAUGAUGCCUAUGCUAUUCUCAUAAAGCUAACAUAUAAAUGCAAACGGUGAGUGACAUCAACCUUUAGUGCCUUUUUUUGUCAUGGUAUGGCUGAUCGUUGCAUGAAAACGUGGUAUCCUCAAGCACACCAACUACCUUUUCUAAAAUCAAUAGCUUUUAAAGAAUUAUCAGAGCUAUAUAUCACAAACAAGUGACUAAUAGCCAAGUCAAAUAAUUGUAACAUAUCCACAUUUUUCUAUUAAUUUUACAACAAAUAAAGUGUAUUAUUAACUUUAUUAAGCAAAACACUCUAUACUCAUUUUCAAACUUUGACAUAAAAAUAUAUGUAUGAAUGGAUAAUAUAUAAAUAAGAUAAGAUAAAGAUUUGGAUAUAGAAGGAAAUAAACAAAUGCAAAAACAGACCAUGGUGUAGUAUGUUAAAAAUCAUGUAAUCAUAUUGUUAUUCAACUCACAUGUUGCUGAGCUAAGUAUAGUAGACACAGACUUUUAAGUCUCCGCCUCCAAUCAGAUAUCUCUUUGGCAGUUUUCUGGAUUCUCCCACAGCAGAUAUGUGUAAGUGCUUCAUAUAAAUAAAUGAGAAUAAAGGAAAUUUAUUCCUGCCCCUUGGGUGUCAUCAGUAAACAUACUUAAAGGGACACACCACUGCCCCAAAAUAAAAAAAAAUACAUUAAUUUAAAGGGACAUUAUAGUCACCUGAACAACUUCAGCUUAAUGAGGUUGUUCAGGUGAGAACUAUAGCUCCCUGCAGCCUUUCUCGUGUAAACACUGUAUUUUCUGAGAAAAUACAGUGUUUACAUUGAAAGCUAGGAACACCUCCAGUUGCAGUCACUCACAGUGAACUAGAGGGCCUUCGGAGUUGAUGGAGGCAUAAUAUGCCUCCAUCCACUCAGAUCUGCUGUCAGCAGAGCACAGGGCAGCACUGUGCACAGCAUCCUGUAAAUCAGUAUCUCCUCCCUCUGCAUGCAGACACUGAACUUUCCUCAUAGAGAGUUAUUGAUUCAAUUCAUCUCUAUGAGGAGAUGCUGAUUGGCCAGGGCUGUUUUUGAAUCAUGCUGGCUCUGCCCCGAUCUGCCUCUUUGUCAGUCUCAACCAAUCCUAUGGGGAAGCACUGUGAUUGGAUCAGGCUACCACAUAUCAGCAGAUUGCUUGUUUUUCUGAGCAUGCAGAUUUACAGCUUCAGGCUUGAAUACAGUAAGAUUUUUACUAUAUUUAUGGAGGCAUGAGGGGCCCAGGGGGGGGCUAGAUGGUGGUGUUAACACUAUAGGGUCAGGAAUACAUUUUUGUGUUCCUGACCCUAUAGUGAUCCUUUAAAAAAAAAGUAUAUAUUCCCCCAAAUGAAAACAUGCAUUAUUAUUAUUUAUUUAUUUAUUAUUAUUUUUUGUUUAUUGGGAUUAUAUUUACAAGUGUGUCUUAACACGUCCUACAGAACCUUCAACAACCUAUGUUAUUCUAGCCUUUGCCGUUGCUUUCAACCCUAUUCUUCCAUACCAAUUAUGUAUGCAUUAGUCUUGAUCAUCCUCCUAGGCAUUCCACAAGUAUGUCUUAUAAACAUAUGUAUUAUAUAUAAAAAAAUAUAUAUAUAUAUCGAUAUAUAUAUAUAUAUUAAGUUCACAUUGGGAGUGUUCAGGUGACACGAUUGAGACCCCACCCGUGUUUUUCAGCCUCCUGGAGCCCAAAAUGCUUAGCUGCGGCCUACUGGACAUGAAGUAGGGAGGAAGCGGUUGCUCUUCCCGCUCCUAGGUUUACAGUGUGGCCCUGCUGACCUCCUACCCAUCCCCCCCUCUUUACUGGUGUUGGCCAACCCUUACCUACCUCUUGCCUCCAGCCAUCACUGACACAAACCACGACGACCUACGAUGGUGUCUGUCACCCCGCAAGGCACGAGAGAGCUACACAUAAAACAUACAGUUUACAGUAGCAACACAGACCUUUGCGUACUACGCCUAGAUGAUAUCUUCAGGCGCUCCUGGAUGCGGCUCCAAGAGCAGGCAGAGGCUGCUCAGUUCACUCUCUGUAUAGAAGCUGAGAAGGGAGAGAAACAAAAGGCAGGAAAGACCCCUCCAGGCAUCAAGCUACAGAAAUCAUGCAUCCAUCGGCCCACUCGGCAGCGUAGACCAAGAGGCACUGGAAGCUUUACCUCCUCACAGUGCACUCAGGUGCAGAAGACUACCCGCCGAAAGCGGCAGCCUCUUCCCAGACCCAUAGCUUACCCUUGGUUUAGGAGGAAGCUGGCCAUCAUGGACCUCCGAGCCCAUGGAGCCAUGGAGUCGGCUCCUGUGGAGGUCUUGAGCUGGGGGACAGCAACACCUGGGAUCCACUCUGCAACCUUACACAUGGAUUCUUUUGCCGGCAGCUUCACCCUACCGCUUGUGGGAGUCGGCUGAAUCUGGCCUCGGGCCCGCAUCUCCACCUCAUUUGCCGUGAGCGAACCUGACAGUCCCACCUUAUCUGCCUCACAUCCAAUUAUUCCUUCCAUUUUUGAUGUUUCCUUUUUAUGUUAUUAUAUGAUUUUGUGUGUUGAGGUGUGGUAACAUACAGUUUAGUCCUAGUGGUUUCAUCCCUUGAAUAUUUUUCUAGCAUGUAAAACUGCUGACCUAAUAACUAUGUCUUUAUAUCAGUCAUCUUAUGCCAUGCUUGUAAUAUUCUAUGAUUUAAUUUAUACAAUGCAUAGAACCUUGUACACACGUAUCUCUACUUCUGACUACAUAUUCACUCACUAUUAAGACAUGUAAGUUUAGCUUGUUCAAUCACCGCCUAUACCUGCCUGGACUUUGUGUUUGUGCUAGGGGUAUCGGUUAAAUAAGCUAAUAUCCAGCAGCCCCUGCCAGAUCUGGCAUUCUAGCUCAGCGUGCAUGCUGUUUUGCCUUAACACUCAGUGAGCAAAGUUAAAAAGCAACUAAAGGUUUAUUUUUUUCUUUUAAAUUUUAUGUUGUUGUUGUCCUCUACCAGUUUUGACCUUCUUCAUAUUCAUACUCAACAUCAUAAGUCUGUCCCUGAAGUUGUAACCUAAUCCUGCUACCAUCAAUAGUAUACUCGUCUGACAAGCUUUAAUGUAAGGGGUAGCUCCAAACUAGUCAUCAGGUAUCUCUGCAUACAUACUCACCAUGUUUUUGCCUUUAGCACAAAACGGAUCUUUACCAUGUGUGAUGCCAUGCCUGUCUUUUCAUAUAUAGUGCAUAUGAUCAUCCUAUGUUUUUAUCUAUUCGUGUAUCACACAUGCAUUGUUAUUCUAUACUUGACAAAAAAAAAAGAGGCUACUCUUUUCUGGAGCCUAUUUUCCUUGAUUGCAUUCAUGGUCCAUGUGAGCUCUUACUGCUUUUUUCUGUUGUUUAUUACUCAAAUGCCUCAAUAAAAUAAAGAAUUUAAAUUAAAAAACAAAACAAAACAAAAACAUUAGAGAAGGGGCAGAGGAGUUAGCUGUGGAGCUGAGCAGACGCAUUUUCUAGAGCUCCGAGCCUACUUGCUGAAAAACUGAGAUUUUGGUUGUAAAAGCAGGCACUCACCCGAUCAAACAUCCCCUCAAUUGCUGUGGGAAGGAGUCAUGGGUGUCAUGAAGAAUAAAAAAAGCAAAGGUUGACUAAGGCCCAUCAAGCCGUGAUUACGGCAAACUCCUGCGGGUGAUGAAGAUUCCUCCUUCUCAUUGGAGGAUAUCCUCUUUGACCAAGGGGCAUCAUAUACCCUCCUGAUGAUGCAGCCACCUAAGCAACAGCUGAAAAGCAUGUUAGCAGUCAGACAUGACCAACUUUAAGGACGCCACUGAAUGUGCCACCUCUCGGAUUACCUAACUGGAGGCAUUAACAAGUGCCCAGGACUCCUUGGAUCACAAAACUGCUGCUAUUCAAGCACAGCAACUAGCCACCAAGGACAGAAUGGAUGCUAUAGAGGACCAGAGGAGGCAUUAUAUUAUUUAUAUAUUGUAAAAUACAAGGUAUUCCAGACUCGACUUACCUCACUACAUCCGACACUUACAGCCCGUUUUGACUGCUGAAGCAGCUUACAGCAACUACGACUGGUCAAGCAUACUUCAUAAUCUGCUUCCAGAGCCUUCUUUCUUCAGAUUCUUCAGAUUAAAUAAUUUUUCUACCGCUGGGGGAUAUCAAAAUUGCUCCUUUUCACUCAUAUGGGUGCUUCCUGUCUUACAUAGAGCUAUUCACCCCCGCACAGCCCAAUGCCUAAUUUCUUUAAGUAAGGUGACCUGAACUGCUACAAUCUAACCUGAUACCCCUGUUGUCCACGCAGGGUCCACAAAGAUCCACCACCGAAGGCCACAGUUACUUUUGUGUUUAUGUACUCUUGUUGGCAUUUUAUUUUUAUGGUUUUCUAUACCAAUUUUGUUCAUGCCAGUUCCCAAAGGCAAUUAGCUUUUUACCACAUUAGAGCAGCGAUGUUUUCUUUCCUCCGAAGCACGCUUCCAAGCUGUCCCAAAACAUGAUGAAACUCCACUUAUUGCAGGCCACCUCCCCCCUCCUAUUCCUGGCAGCCCGACGUGGAACCCAUGGCCAACCUUUGACAACCCAGGAGUGAGGUACAUCCUCACGAGGGUAUACCUAGUUGCCCAACAUCAUCUACUGUGAUACUAAUAUGCCCUUAGGGGAAUUGAUAACUAGCCUUUGUUUUCUGUUUUUAUAUUUAUUUAUAAAAUAUUUUACCAGGAUGGAUACAUCGAGAUUUCUCUUGUUUUCAAGUAUGUCCUGGAUAUGUAUCUUCUUCUUAUUUUAAUUUGAUAAAAUCUAAUAAUGGAACUAUCCGUGUAUUUCAUACUAUAAUACAUGUACGUGCUUUACUCAUAUGUGGAAUGAAAUAAAUAAAAAAAAAAAUAAAAAAAACAUUGGAGACAAGGAAAUAAAGAAAUUAAUUUAAGCAGAAGUGAAAUGAGGUGGAUUUUUUUUUUGUCAACCUAUCUUUUAUUGAGGCAUCAAAAUCACAAUACAGAAAGAAGAAAAAAGAGUCAUGGCAAUUGUACACAUAUCAGAAAUGCAGUGAGUAUUCACAGUAAUAUAAAUUCCUAUGAAAGGCAGCCUCAUUAAUUUUUCUGGCAAAACAUAUGAAAGGUUACGCAUGAGAAAACAACUAUAGAGUAAACAGGUUCCGUAUGCAUGAGUAAAUAGUGAUAAAAGAAACAAGCUAGAUUUACAUGAGAAGACAACUUUAGUGUACACCAUCCCAGGGAGUUCUAGGAACACAAAUUAAAUGUCCAUUCUGUGUUGCAUGAGGACAGUAAACAUUGUAAAUUAAAAAGAGUAGGCAUAUAAUAACGAUGAGUAUUCUGCAUUGAUAGGCUGUGUGCAGACAUGCGCUAAGAGACUUGAACGUGCGGUCAAUCUAUGCCCGUUACAGGCAGGUCACAGUCCUAUCCAAGAUUGCUAAGCUGUAGGCCCAGUGCCAAAGGUGUCAGAUGCAGUUCCCCUAAAGAGAAUGGCCUCCCUCUUCAUCUGCAUCUCUCCGCUUACUUCUCUUGUUUGCCUGGUGAGUGUUUAGUGCCGAUGUUGGGCUGCCUACCAGAUUCCUCAAGGUGUAUCGGUAAGGCCUCUGCCAUCUCAGGGGUGCCAGGUAAUGUGGUGGUUUUUGGAACGUUAUUGGAGGCAUUGUGGCAGCCUCAUGGGCUGGUAGAGAUCUCCUCUUCCAGAAAGCCUCAGAGUGCUUAAAGUCUGUGGAGAGUGUUAAAGUCUCUCCAUGGGAGUUCAAGGUGUACUCAGCGACUGCCAUCUUGUGUGUGCUACGUUUGGUAGAGCUGGUAUCUGCGGCUCUGCCGCACAAUUCAGUUGGAGCAGGAUAUCUGCCAGGACGUGAGCCAGGAUCACCCCACUGGCCCAAGGGUAAGAGAGCAUCAGAUUAUUUGGAGCCCUGCUUAUGCCAGUAAGGAAGAUUGGCCACCUCCCCUUUUCUCAGCGCCUGCUAGGCCUCAGAUUUGUCAGCAGAGAAAAGCAACCAGAGAGUGCUUAUAGAUGGAGGGAAGUACUCCCAGGCUGGUCUGUUGAAUUGGUAAGUGGAGUAUAUGCUGCCAGCCGUAAAAAUAUAGCCAGAAAACUCAAGAUGUGAGAUUUAAUCUGUAUCUCCCAAGGAGCUCUCAGAAGAAAUGUCUGGUCACCAUAGCAGGCAUUAGAUGGAUUUUUAAUCUAGGUACUCUAGCAUUGAAGAAAUCUCUUCAAAACUUUACCCAAAACUAGGUUCCCUGUAUAGAAACAAGCCCUACAGUAAGGAAACAGGCAGUGCAACAAAUGCUAAUGCUGGUCCAAGAUUAUGGGGAUGUCGUGUAUGCACCUGCAUCGCAAACCCACCUUAAUAAAUAUAAUACAUAAUAGAAUUAGUUCUGCCACUUUGAACUAGAAUGUAAUAAAUAAUAACAUAAUAGUAAUAAUUACUUUACCCACCAUUGUGACAUGCUAAAAGAGCUAAACUGUCUGUCGCAGGAAUCCCAACACACUCUUCAUCUUUCCAGACUUGUGGAUAAGAGCAUUUCUGGGAAGCUCCCACCCUACCCGAGUAAAAUGCUCUCCCUGGCUGUUCCCACCUCCUAUAACCUCCGAUCCAGUACUAGCAUGAAAUUUAGCAUACCGCAACACAAAAAUAAAGUGGCUCGAUCCUCCUUUUCCUACAGAGCACUGGAAUUAUAGAAUAACCUCAGGGACACAGUAAAAUCUUUAUUCAAUCGAAAAUCUUUUAAGAGAUCUAUGGCAACAUACGUCAGCACAGAAUGCACCUCUCAUGGUUGAAUAUAGUUAUAACCUGUUAUGUGUUAAAUUUAUAUAUGUGUGUUAAAGUAGAGAUUGUAGCCGUAUUAGUAUGGUGAUGUAGAUGUAAACAACAGAUGCAAUUUGUAUCUUGUAAUACCUUUUUUAUUGGACUAACAGAAUUUUUUAAUGAUAAGCUGUUGGGAGAACCUCCGUUUCUCAAGUCUGAAGCAUUUCUGAGCAAGUCGACAUAUAUAAAAUUCAAAGUUGGGUUGUGAUACAGGGGUUAAAGCGACAUGAGUGCAUGUAAGACAGGUUUGAUAGAACAUAGACAUCAUUCUUGCAGAGGGUCGGAAAUACCUUAUGUGAAGAUAACAAAGUGAGGGGGGAGACAGAGAAAAAAUAAAACAGGUGAACAGUGCAGAAGAUGGGGCUAGAAGGGGGAAGUAUUAAUAUAAAGAAUUCAUGAAUUCCCAUCCAAGAGUUACAGGAUAUGCAUGAAUGACUAUAAAAAUGAGAGAAAUCUUAAUGUAUCCACCCUGGUAAAAUAUUUUAUAAAUAAAUACAUCGGCUGAAUGCCGAUUCUAAGAUAACAUUCUACUUAAUGCCUUUCCUUACCACAUCAGUAUUAUUAUUAUUUUUUUUUAUUGGUUAAAUAUCUUUCUUUUUUCAUUGAACUUUCACUUCUUAGGAUACUAUAUUGAUUUAGGGUACCAAUUGGUCACAAUGAAUUUAUUCUCUUACUUUAUGAUAUAUAUAUAUAUAUAUAUACUGUCACGGUUGUCAAGGGAAACUAAACACGCAGACAAGUCACAGACACACAGAAUUGCAAUACCGGUCCUUAGAAUGGCAGGGCUAUGCAAAGAGAUAGACUAGUCAGGGUACAAGCCGAGGUCAAGGAUCAGAGAAGACAGAGUAAAUGUAAGACAAGCCAAAGUUCGGUUACCAAAUGAUCCAGACACAGCAUAACGCGCUAUUGGGCUAAUAAAGACCACAACAGGGCAAGGAGAUAUGGGAGUGGUAAGUCUACAUAUGCUUAGGGCAAUUCUGAUUGGCUAACUUCCAAUCAGAAUUGAUUACAACACGUGGAAGGUAUUUAGAACCUCCACUAUGAGCAGUGACAUCACUAUUGUGCACCGAGUCAGGUGGCUGACUCGGGCGCCUAUUUAGAGAACGCUGCAUGUGAGCGUGCAGCGUCAGAAACCCUGCCUGUGGGCGGCGGGUAGGUGUCAGACCACCAAUCACGGUGGGCGGCAAAGAGAGAUCGGCAAAGAGACAGGUGAGGCUACCGCGAGCAGCGCGCAGCCCGCAGAACCAGCCGCAGAAUCCUACAUGACAACAUCACGGAGCUGGUGGAUGUUAGAGACCUUGCGCUCCCCCUACUUCCAUUUGAGGAUGCCCCACAGAUGCUCAAUAGGGUUUAAGUCUGGAGACAUGCUUGGCCAGUCCAUCACCUUUACCUUCAGCUUCUUUAGCAAGGCAGUUGUUGUCUUGGAGGUGUGUUUGGGGUCGUUAUCAUGUUGGAAUACUGCCCUCGGCAAAGUCUCCGAAGGGAGGGGAUCAUGCUCUGCUUCAGUAUGUCACAGUACAUGUUGGCAUUCAUGGCUCCCUCAAUGAACUGUAGCUCCCCAGUGCCGGCAGCACUCAUGCAGGCACAGAUCAUGACACUCCCACCACCAUGCUUGACUGUAGGCAAGACACACUUGUCUUUGAACUCCUCACCUGGUUGCCGACACACACGCUUGACACCAAUCUGAACCAAAUAAGUUUAUCUUGGUCUCAUCGGAUGCCAAGACAUGGUUCCAAUAAUACUUCAACCUCUGCAGCAAUGCUGGCAGCACUCAUAUGUCUAUUUCCCAAAGACAACCUCUGGAUAUGACGAGUAGCACAUGCACUCAACUUCUUUGGUCGUCCAUGGCGAAGCCUGUUCUGCGUGGAACCUGUCCUGUGAAACCGCUGUAUGGUCUUGCCCACCGUGCUGCAGCUCAGUUUCAGGGUCUUUUUUUCAGAUCCUCAGAGAGUUCUUUGCCAUGAAGUGCCAUGUUGAACUUCCAGUGACCAGUAUGAGAGACUGUGAGAGCUGUAACACCAAAUUUACCACACCUGCUAUCCAUUCACACCUGAGACCUUGUAACUGUCACGAUUCGGGGAACCAAACACGCUGGCACACACACACACAAAAGGUGCCGUACCGGACCUUAGAGUGGCCGGGCUAAGCACACACAGAAUAGUCAGGAGACAAGCCGAGUAAAGGGGAACCAGAAGACAGAAUAACGUGAAACGAGCCGAGGUCAAAGGGUAGGAGAAAGUCACAGAGUCAGAUAAACAAGCCAGAGAGUACGUAACCAGAAGAACAAGGUAAAUCGCAAUACUAGCAAGCAAAGACCACAACAGGGCAGGGAGGAACAGGAAAGGUAAGUAUUUAAACCAUCAGGUUAAUUCUGAUUGGAUAAUUUCCAAUCAGAAUUAACAAUCACACGUGGGAGAUAUCUAGACCUCCCACUGUGAUUGAGGCACUGUGCCUUUAACGCCGGGUCAGGUGACUGACCCCGGCGUGUAUAAACCUGGGCGGUCUCCCAGCGUGCAGCGUCAUGCAUGCUGCCGCUGGGGGACGUGGAGGGAACGGCGGGCGGCAUCCGAGGCUGGAAGGAUGCCGCUCGCCGUACCCACGAGGCAGGAGGGGACCGCGGACGGCUGGAGGGUGAGUACUGCGAGCGGAGUGCAGCCUCCCCUCGCAGCCGCCCGCGGGAGCCUGACAUUACCCCCCCCCUCGAAGACCGCCCAGGGGGUGGGAAGCGGAAGGCUUCAAAGGAAAGCGGGCAUGAAAGGAGCGGACCAAAGAGGGAGCGUGCACAUCGGAGCUUGAAACCCAGGACCGCUCCUCAGGGCCGUACCCCUUCCAGUCCACCAAAUAUUGCAGCCGACCCCUAGAAACACGAGAGUCGAGAAGGGCAGCCACCUCGUACACGUCGUCAGAGACAGCUCGAGGGGAAACGGGCCGCCCGAGGGGACGAGAGAACCGGUUACACAGCAAGGGCUUCAAAAGCGAGACAUGAAACGUGUUCGGGACACGCAUGGAAGGAGGCAGAUCAAGGGAGUAGGAAACGGGGUUAACCCUACGUAACACCUUGAAGGGACCAAGAAACCUGGGGGCAAAUUUCAUCGAGGGAACCUUGAGACGGAGGUUCUGGGAGGACAACCAUACCCUAUCACCCGGAAGAUAAGAAGGGGCCGCAACCCUACGGCGAUCAGCAAACUUUUUCUGAGCAGCUGCUGAACGAGACAGCGCAACAUGGACCUGAUCCCACGUCUUCCGCAAAGAGGCGAGGUGCUGGUCCAAGGCGGGCAUUCCCUUGUCGGAGAACGCACCGGGAAGGACAGAAGUUCAAAACCCAUAAGCAACCUCAAAAGGACUUAAGCCAGUAGACGAAUGACACACCGUAUUCCUGGCAAAUUCAGCCCACGGAAGAAGGCGAGACCAGUCAUCCUGGUGCGCAUUAGUGAAGCAGCGCAAAUACAAUUCCACAGACUGAUUAGCACGUUCGGCCGGACCAUUAGAUUGCGGGUGAUAGGAGGAAGAGAACGACAAGGAGACCCCCAUCUCAGCACAAAAGCCCCUCCAGAACCGAGAGACAAAUUGAGGGCCCCUGUCAGAUACGAUAUCCUGGGGUACACACACACACACACAAAAGGUGCCGUACCGGACCUUAGAGUGGCCGGGCUAAGCACACACAGAAUAGUCAGGAGACAAGCCCAGUAAAGGGGAACCAGAAGACAGAAUAACGUGAAACGAGCCGAGGUCAAAGGGUAGGAGAAAGUCACAGAGUCAGAUAAACAAGCCAGAGAGUACGUAACCAGAAGCACAAGGUAAAUCGCAAUACUAGCAAGCAAAGACCACAACAGGGCAGGGAGGAACAGGAAAGGUAAGUAUUUAAACCAUCAGGUUAAUUCUGAUUGGAUAAUUUCCAAUCAGAAUUAACAAUCACACGUGGGAGAUAUUUAGACCUCCCACUGUGAUUGAGGCACUGUGCCUUUAACGCCGGGUCAGGUGACUGACCCCGGCGUGUAUAAACCUGGGCGGUCUCCCAGCGUGCAGCGUCAUGCAUGCUGCCGCUGGGGGACGUGGAGGGAACGGCGGGCGGCAUCCGAGGCUGGAAGGAUGCCGCUCGCCGUACCCACGAGGCGGAGGGGACCGCGGACGGCUGGAGGGUGAGUACUGCAAGCGGAGUGCAGCCUCCCCUCGCAGCCGCCCGCGGGAGCCUGACAGUAACACUAAUGCAUCACAUGACACCGGGGAAGGAAAAUGGCUAAUUGGGCCCAAUUUGGACAUUUUCACUUAGGGAUGUAAUCACUUUUGUUACCAACGGUUUAGACGUUAAUGGCUGUGUGUUGAGUUAUUUUGAAGGGACAGCAAAUGUACACUGUUAUACAAGCUGUACACUUACUACUUUACAUUGUAACAGAGUGUAAUUUCUUCAGUGUUGUCACAUGAAAAAAUAUAAUAAAAUAUUUACAAAAAUGUGAGUGUGGUACUCACUUUUGCAAGAUACUGUAUAUACGAUCAUUGUUUCAACCCUCCUGGGUCUUUAUCAAGAUAUCUUGAUAAAGACUCAGAAGUGACAAUACAUUGAUCGUUUAAAUACACUUAUUUAAAAAAUCCCAGAGAGUGCUCAUGUUUCGUCUUUUCUACAUAUUGGUGCUGGGAAGCAGCCGAGUGGCUACUUUUCCAUUUGUUUGGAUCUAUGGAUUAUUGGUGUAGGGUCAGUGCCAGAGCUUGCACUUGUAUGUUAUUUGAAUGUUAUUUGUUUUCAUUUAUUCUCUCCCUUUGAUUUUUGUUCCCUCUUUCUUGGGAUAUUUUUAGCAAUUAGAUGCAUAGAUGGUGACUGGAUGGAACGUAAAGAUGCCAGAGUGUGGAAUUAAGUUAAUGCAGAAUCACGUCAGACGCCAAUACUGGAAGUGAUGAAUGAGGAAACGGACACCCAAAUAAGCAUGCAGAAGGGAGAAAAAAAGUGCACCAAGUUCCCUAUAAAGAUGAGGAACUUAUCGACCAACAAAUUAUGUACUUUGAAGAAGACCUUUAAUUGGUCAAAAUGUAAUCAGUGUUAUUUGUUUUAUAUUUUUUGUUUUGUUUCAUUUAUUUAUAUGAAAAACUGAGGAAAUUUCUUAUGCAUAUCUGCUGGGGGAGAAUCCAGAAAACUGCAGAAGAGAUACCGGAUUGGAGCCUUACAAGUCUGAGCCUACUAUACGUGGCUCAGCAACAUGUGAGUUGGAUAACUAUAUAAAUACAUGAUUUUCUUUACUAUAAAUGUGUAAUGUACUACACUAUGGUCUGUUUUUACAUUUCUUUAUGUCAGGCUAUAUCCAAAUCCUAAGGUAUAUGGAAAGGAAAAGGAUAAGUGCUGGAUAACUAGACCAAGGCACAAAGUAGGCAGUGUAUCUGAAGAACCCCUAGAAAAGUAGAUUGGAAGACAAAUAAAAGGUAGCAGUGUCUUAGUAACCACGCAAAGAAAAUAAAAUACAAGAAAUGGGACAAUAAACAAAAUAUAAGAAAAUAUAAUAAACAAAUAUAUUAAAGAUAGCAAUGAGCCAAAAAUGUAUCCUUUUCUUAUCAAUAGGGUCAGACAGAGCUUCUUCUUCUUAAGGUAUGGAUUUGUAUAAACAUGUAUAGGGAGACAAAAACACAAGAAACCUCCAAUAGUGUAACGUGUCAAUUUAAAUGGAGCACAGAAAACACAAAGAAGUGAUUGCCAACUCACAUUUUAUAGAGCUAGGACCAGCUCUAGUAAUAACAGCUAUCACUUCACAGGAUUUUUAAUAUCAUCUACACUUAUGCCUAUAUUUACCAAAUCUGUAUUUAUGAGUUUUGAAAAAUUUAAUUAUAUGUUAAAAUCUACAACUCUUUAUCCUGCAGCCUGAUACCUCAAGUCUUAGCUCACUGUCAGAUGUUGUUAGGAACCCCGUCCUUUCUACCUGGCAAUCAGAAUAGAGAAAGCAUACAGACAAUAGUUUUAUGAAACAAUGUUUGUAUUUCCUACCUUACUCGCGUACAAUGCUAGCUUUGUCUUUACCUUGUCUGAACUGUACUGUAAUGUAAUUCUACCGUGUCAGGACAGCCUCAUGCUGUAGGCGCUUCACCUGCCGCAUCAGGCUUGCAUCCUGCUACCUCCCGGUUAGUUACUCCCCAGGCCAUCGCUGUCGGUUCUCCCGGCUCCGAUGCGCCAGCCGCUCAAGACCUAAUUCACCAGAUGUUGCCAGCUUUCAUGGUCUCCCAUUCCCGGUUCCCCUCGAGGAUGACAAUGUGCAAGGGCUUAGUCCAUUCUGUCCUUCAAAUAAUAGGGUUUCCCAGAGACAGGCAACCCCAGCCAACCACAUCCCUGCUUUAUCACUAAUGGAAGGGGCUCCCCCGAUGUAUUUUAUGUUCAACCCAUCCCAAGCUGCAACUCUAGUAACCUCUCUCCCCGACCCUGAGAAACAGCCCAUGCCCUUCUUCCGGAGAGUUGCCCAGAUUCGUAAGACAUACUCAGCAGCCUGGCGUGAUCUGUAUAGUCUGUGUGAGAUCAAGGCUGGGAAUGCCUAUUGGCCCAUUAUGGAAAGGAGUUUUAAUGAAGCUCUCCUCACUACCGAUAUGGAUUACCAGUCAGGUAUUACAUUCUGUGAACAGCUUCGGGCCUGGGCCCAAGAUAAACUAGCUGACCAAGCCACUUGUAUAAAUGACAUUAUACAAGACAAACUCGAAUCUGUGGAAAAGUACCAUUCAAGGUUGACUCAAACUUUCUCCGAUCUCGGAUUAAGUGUAUAUAACAAAGCACAUACCCAGAUGUUAUCCGCUGCCUUUGUGGCUGGCCUUAAGGAACCAAUCAGGAAAGGCUUAGUGCUUUCUUGCCCCGAAUACAGAGUUAUUCCUUUGGACACUCUCUUACUAGUUGCAAAGGGCCUAGAAUCUGCUCUACAGCCACCCCAAAGGAAAAGUAAUCCUCUCAUGUUUUCCAUUUAUAGCCCUGCUACCAGACCCGCCAAGGUGCCCCCAGGUUAUCCCACGCUAUCCACCCUGCCAGCCGCACAGGGGCAGCACAUGACACCUAGGCCUCAGACCAGGGCAUGUUUUAAUUGUAACCAACCAGGCCAUUUCUGGAGAGAUUGCCCACACCCCAGGGUGCCUAGACAGCUGACCACUAGACCCCCUAUGUAUCCCAAUGCCCCUGCAGCCACGUAUGGUGGUCUCCAACCAGGUUACCCUCCACAGGUAUAUCCUUAGGCACAUACAUCGUAUUACCCUCCUCAGGAAUACGCCCAAGCUGUCUACCAACCCUCUCAAUCUAAUACUCACCCCCCACCCUGCAACUAUGCUCACCCUUCCCCUGAUAGUUCCGAUACAGAUGAUUUCCAACAAGAUGAUCACCCAGCACCGAGUCAUUAUCGCUCUACACGUCAAACCCAUCAGGCCAGCCACUCCACCACACCAGCACGUCAUUACACUGACCCUGAUCAAUCUCAUCUAGACCUUGUACAAUAGGUAACCGGCAAACCUGUGUCUAACACCCCUGUCAUGGCAGUGUCUACAGGGGACAAGGGGGGACCCCUAGCUACAGUUGUACUACCAGUUAAGGGUCAUCCAACUACCUUCUUAGUUGACACAGGUGCAGCCCACAGUGUUCUCAGAGAACAAGACCUGCCUGACCUGACCCUUCUUAUCUAUCCGACACAGAUGUUUCUUGUGUAGGUGUUGAUGGUACCCCCAGAAACAACCCAUUAACCAAGCUCUUGCGGGUUGUUUCUGACAUCCUCUCUCGGUUUGUUGUCUCAUCCACCUGUCCAAUUAACCUCUUAGGAGCAGAUGUUCUAUCUCGUCUUAAAGCUUCUAUCUCCUUUACUGCUGAUGGCCAGGUUCAAUUACUAACCCCCUUUCUCGCAAAGAUACUUCCGUCCUUUGCUCUCUGCCCCUUCUAUUACAUAUGACAUCCCCCAACGAGGAAGUGAGGGUCCCAGACGCCCCUAGUGCCCUGGAUAGGGUUCCAACUAAGCUUUGGUCUACGGGGCCAGAUGACAUUGGACGCCUACGAGUCCCACCUGUGGUGGUUACACUAAUUAAAGGAGCUAAUCCACCAUGAAGACCAUAGUACCCAUUGAAACCUGCACAAGCUCUCGCCAUCUCCAAACAAGUUGAUAGCCUGUUGGCAAAAGGUGCACUAGUCAAGUGUGUAUCUCAGUGUAACACCCCUCUGUUUCCAGUAAAGAAGAAAACUGAAAAAGGUCAACCAGACCAAUACCGUAUGGUCCAGGACCUCCGCGCUGUUAAUGAGGUCAUAAAUCGUGAUACUGCUGUUGUCCCUAAUCCACAUACACUGUUGUCACAGGUUCCUCCAACAGCUAAAUUAUUCACGGUGGUUGAUCUUGCAAAUGCCUUUUUCAGCGUGCCCUUGGAUCCCUCUUGCUUUCAUAAAUGACCAUCAACAGUAUACAUGGACUGUCAUGCCUCAAGGUGCACAAAAUUCCCCAACCCAAUUCGCAAAAGCUAUACUAGAACCCUGGCAGAAGUCCCACCCAGACGUGGUCCUGCUCCAGUAUGUAGAUGAUUUACUUCUCUGUGCGGAUGAUUUUCCAACUGCUGAACAGAAUUCCGUAGAUCUCCUUUGUUUCCUCGCUGAUGAAGGUUGUAAAGCCUCCAAGACAAAACUCCAGUGGUGCCGGCCCUCUGUGGUCUUCUUGGGACUUCUCCAUGGGCCUUUCCCAUGGCACCCGCCACCUAACGAGAAACAGGGUACUUGCCAUUACAAAUCUCUCCCUUCCGUCUAACCAUCAGGCCCUUCAUGCUUUCUUGGGCCUCAUCACAUACUGCAGGUCUUGGAUCCCUGAGGCUUCUCAACUCAUGCAACCUCUCUAUGAUGCUUUAAAGACUGAACCUUUUUCAUUGUCCUCUACAGCCCGCACCUGUUACCAUGCUCUUCAAAGAGCCAUCUCCUCCACCCCUGCGUUGGGCCUACCUAACUACCAACUACCGUUCAAUCUUUUCGUCUCAGAAAAGAUGGGCCAUCUGCAAUCCUGAAUCAAGUCCAGCCAAAGCAUCUUUCAUGUCAAAGACAUCUCCGCCUUCAAACCUAUCUCCUCUUGCCUGAUAACAUUUCUUUACAAUGAUGUUACUCCUUGAAUCCGGCCACUUUUCUGCCACUUCCCAAGGGGGAAGUGCCGCAAUACUGGUACAGCCUGGACAUAAAUCCUUAUGUCCACAUGGAACUUCAAGUAGAAAAGCCCAAGUUCCACAUGAUGAACAACCCGAGACCCAAUUACAUUGCACCCUGUGGUUCAGGGACACCCCAGGUCCUGACCCAUACUAUGAAGAAGAAUUAUUCAACCUGGUGGAAAUAUACAUCACACUGACAGACCUGUUCCGUGACUCCAAAGGAAACAUUGUUAUCUUAGUCUACCUGCCUAUGGAGGUAUCACACUUAUAUCACCAUUGGGAGGUAGCUGUUCCUCAUCUCUCUUUCACCAAGUCUCCAGAUCUCUCAUGGAAAGAACUUGGCCCAUUGGCCAAGACAUGGAGUACUGCAACUCAAGAACAACUCACAGUGAGGGGGGGGUCACUAAAAGGACCAUAAAUUGCAAAACUGUCAGUUACCCUCAAUAUCACACAAAGAUAUGUGAAGAUAUUCCUCCCACAGAACAAGACCCGGACGCCCCUCAUGAUUGCUUUGAACAGAUGAAAAUGGAAACAACCCAUCUCCCAACAGUGCACGAGGCUGCUCUACCUGACCCUGACUACACUCUGUUUGUGGAUGGUUCUAGAUUCGCAGAUGCGCAGGGACAAUAUCAUACCGGAUAUGGAGUCACCACAGAGGACCAAAUACUCCAAGCAUCUGCACUCCCAUCAUCUAAGUCAGCACAAGAAGCCGAACUAAUAGCUCUUACGGUGGCAUGAAAGAUGUCUGAAGGGAAGCGUGUUAAUAUUUACACAGACUCAAGGUAUGCCCGGGCGUGGCACACGACUUUGGCUUAAUCUGGAAAACCAGGGGGUUCCUUACAGCAACAGGUACUCCUGUGAAACAUGGCGCAGCUAUCAAAGAAUUGAUGGAUGCCUUACUACUUCCUGAAGAGGUGGCCAUACUGAAGGUAAAGGCCCACGGGAGACUAAAUUCAGAAGAAGCACGUGGCAACCAUUUAGCCGACCAGGCCGCUAAGGAUGUUGCACACCAGUGUCGGGAAGUGGACAGAAGAGUGUCCGUCGAAAAGACUCCUAUUUACACUAUGCAAACCCUACCCACCGAUCUCAAGCUCCUAAGAGAACAACAGGCUGCCGCCACCCCACAAGAAAAGCAAAGCUGGAAAGACAAAGGAGCAACCUUCCAGAAUGACGUAUACACAAUUAAUCUCAAAUUCUGCCUACCCAAGAAUAUGUAUCCAGCUGUCGUUCAGUGGGCCCAUGAACCAGCUCACUUAUCUAAGCACCUCAUGAAUUCUUUGAUUGAUAAAUAUUUUGAAACACCCGGAAUCACCACCUUGACACGAAAUUACUGCAGAUCCUGCACCAUCUGCGCCAGAUGUAAUCCAGGGGAAAUAAUCAAAGCUGCACCAAACCAUUUGGCCAAGCCACAGUACCCUUUCCAAAGGAUCCAAAUUGAUCAUAUCCAAAUGCCAAAGAGUGGCCCGUAUGAAUACGCACUGGUCAUAGUGGAUAUGUUUUCAGGAUGGCCAGAAGCUUUUCCGGUCGCUAAUCUCACUGCAAAGACCACAGCAAAGCGCCUACUUACCGAAAUCAUCUGCAGAUACGGAGUUCCCAAAGUAAUUGAAAGUGACCAGGGUACAUCCUUCACCGCGUUGAUAACCAAGGAGAUCUGGGCAGCACUGGGGUGACCCUUGCAUUCCACACACCCUAUCACCCACAGAGUAGUGGUAAGGUAGAACGCAUGAAUGGCACUCUGAAAGCCAGAAUGCUUAAAAUGUCCCAAGAAACUAACCUACCCUGGCCGGAGAUUCUUUUCAUGGCACUGUUUAGUGUAAGGUACACCCCAAGAGGGAAGCUUAGCUUAUCCCCUUACAAAAUCUUAUUUGGGACAGCACCCAGGUUAGGCUGUUACUUUCCUUUAGCAACUUCAACUUCAGUCAGAUGCAAUGGUAGAUUAUAUAACUGCACUCUCUCAUGCCUUGACCAAAAUCCAUGCAAAGGUGUUUUCUUCUAUUCCAGAUCCAUAGUCAAAUACAGGCACGCAUAAGUUACUUACUGGUGACUGGGUCAUAGUCAAGAAGUUCCUAAGAAAACACACUCUUGAGCCAAGGUUCGAUGGUCCAUUCCAAGUCCUAUUGACUACAUCUACCUCUGUAAAGUUGGCCGGAGGUAGAUUCCACCAAAUCAUGAGCUUCCUGUGCCUAUUUCUGCUGAUAGGCCUAUUAAAGGCCCAACAAGUUGCUAUUACCAAAGACAAUCAUGUUUACACAUUUUGGUAUUAUUCUUCAAACACACACGUAGAUACUUUUACCUUUGAUUACUGUGAUAUUGUCUCUUGUACUUUUCCACAAUCACAACUGUAACAGAAUCUUCCGUUAAUGGACGCUUCCUAGCUUGCGCCCAGGGCCACAAGCACCGCACCGGACACCACCGCAGACUCCACAACCACCGUAGCUUAACUGGAGUCUCGCCAUCUUCCGUCCACCCUGGAUCAGCUUCUGUCCUCCAGGACCGUGUGGGGAAAGACCUCUCCUGCAGGAGAGCGUAUCAGGAACAAGCUCUUAAAAGAGCUAAGUGAUUAAAGCUCAAGGGAGUAUGCAGAGCAUAGCAAUCCCCAGUGUGAUAUAGCAGGUCUCUCCAAUAACGAGACAAGGCUACAUAUUGAGGUUCAAGAAGAUCUGACUGUACUGGCACAUACAGCCUCUUUUAUUCACAUUUUACAAAUAUAGUACUGCUCACAGGGUUUUGAAGAACAACCAAUCAACACAUUACAAAACAGCUAACACUCCCAUUCAUUACAUCAGAAAUCCUCCCCUCUGCUUGUGAUACAAUUAUCUCAACACAAUAGACUAACUUAAUUAUCACAGGCAGAAAAAUACAGUAUUAUAAAACAUAUCACAGGGACCCCAAAACAUGCAAUAACCCCAUAAAAAUAUAUAUAUAUAUCCUCGGAACAGGGGGAUCUGGGUGAACCACAUAUCCAAAAUUCCGUUCAGUAGUUUGGAAGAUAUGGUUUAAUGCAGAUUCCGCCGAACAUAUACAGGCUAUAUGAAAAAUAAUUACUGUUAAAUGUGUCCCCUGUUCUGUAGUUUAAAACUACUGAACGAUGUCUUUGUGCACCAAAUACCGGCCAGAUGGCACCGUGUAGAAAAGUCAAAACAGUGUCUGUGAGUUAAAAUGGCUGCCAUCCAUUGUUCUCACCAUGUGCUUCAUCCAUUGUUCUCACCAUGUGCCUCUGAUACAUGAAAUGGUGGCCACCCAGUAACUCCCCAGUAUGUCGCCAGAUGGUUCUUAAAGGGCCAGCAUCAGCAUAAUAAAAUACAGUAUGCCCAAAUCAGUUCCUUAAAGGGAAAUACAUCCCAGGGCCAUAGUUGCAGGGCAGGAGGCUUGCAAGCAGGCCUCUCCAGGACCAAGUGGCGAAGGGCACUUCGUCACAACAACACUCAGCAAUAUACAAAGACAUACCAAAUUAAAAGGACCCAUAUAUUUGUGUGACAGGUGACCGUUGGGGACAUCACUGUAGUACCUGGAAACCGGUGGGUUGGAAUACGGGCCGACCAUGGGGCUACAGACCACAAAGUGCCUUAGAUAGAGUUGACAGAUAUGGGAAACCCUUGUUAUACAGAAUGACCUUGUGCAAGCCAACGGGGUGUACCCCAAUGAAGCUAACCUUAAACAUAGAACAUCCCAGCCCAGGAGACGCUGGGGAAUACAUAAUGGUAAUGUAAUGGAAAGGAGGUGGCUCAUAUAACAAGUUGGGGACCUUCUAUUUACAAGACAUGCUUACAUCACCUGACUGGGUAGACUCCACACACAUGACCAUUAACCCUCUAAAACCACACAUUAAAACCCUUAAAGACAUGGUAGCCAUUGCCAAUCCCACAUUUGAAGACACUAUGGCUGUGGAGCCCGGAUUUUCAGAUACUAAUCUAUGGCUUGAAUGGAUGAGGUAUAAUGCUAAUUCACACAACAAAACUAACUGUUAUGCUUGUGGUGGGGCCAGGCCCUAUCUGGGUACAGUGCUUUUAAAUCUAACCCCCGAUGUUGAGAUGUGUUUCUUAAGCCUCUAUGCGCAGACAGCAGUAAACUCAUCAGUGUGUGAGUCAUGGAAAAAGGUUUACCCAAUAACCCAAGGGAAUACCAAGCCACCUGAUGGAAUCACCGUGUACCCAGGUAACUACACUUGCUAUACAAUACAUGGAGCCACAGGUAAAUUUGUAGGUAAAUUCCCUUCUGGCUACUGUACCACUUAUCGAGAACCUCCCACUGCCCUAUUAGUAAAUCAAGUUAAGUCCGUGGGAGACAUUUAUUGGCUAUGUGGUGACAUGCAGCUUAGAUCAAAAAUGACUGGCCAAUGGUGGGGAGAAUGUGCUCUGACCAAAGUUAUCAUGCCCAUACAUAUAAUUUCUGAUAACCACCAAGGCCCACACGAUUCACCACAUACGUAUCUUAGAGUAAAAAGAGAAACCCCCCAUUCAAGGUAGUUUCGACCCACACAUAUAUAUCGAUACCACUGGAGUACCAAGGGGGGAACCAAAUGAGUUCAAGGCCAGAGAUGAAGUGGCGGCGGGAUUCAAAUCCUUGAUCCCACUCAUCACCGCUAACAAGAAUGUUAACUGGAUCAAUUAUAUCUUCUAUAACCAGCAACGAUUUGUCAUGGCAGAACAAUUACAGACUACCUCCCAAAUGACAUUUCAGAAUCGAAUGGCCUUAGACAUGAUCCUAGCAGAAAAGGGGGGCAUGUGUAAAAUACUCCCCGAUACUAUGACAUGCUGUACCUUCAUCCCAGACAACACAGGCCCAGGGUCAGUUAGUAGUUGUCUCUUUCUUUCUCUCUCUCUCUCUCUUUUGUAAAUAGUCAUUUUAAGGGGGGACUGUUGUGGACAAAAAUAUUAACCCAACCCAUGUUAGUAAAAUGCCUAUUUACUCAACAUAACUAUAAUCAGCAUUAUUCAACUUUCUAUGUGAUUUACCUAAAAUGGCCGCUAGGGAGUUUCCCUGUGACAUUGACUAACACCUUCAUUAACAAAAUGGCGCUGGAAUCUGGGGGAGACCUCCAAGAUACCAGUGACAUCAUACCCGGUAGGCAGAGCACUAAAUGAACCACUUAACACCUAACCAAUUAUUGAUGUAUUAUUCCAUGUUAUCUCUGACAAUGCAUAUGAUGUAAUUUUGCUUUAUAAGGGACAUGCCGUCCCCCCAGAAUAAACAUUCCUCAAGUUUUUCAUUAACCAGAAGCCUGUGUCUGGUGUGAAUUACUUUAGGAGCGUGCACGCACUACUUCUUUAAUUUGGCCGGGGGCAGAUACGCAAGAUAAUCGAUUUAUUGAUUGAUUCCACAUCAUUGCUAAAUCUUUAAUAUGAUUUUAAAAUAAAACAGAGCUUCUCAAAAAGGUUAAUACAAGGUCUUUUAGAUUACUAGCUCCUUUGAGCAGGGCCCUCUUCAUCUACUGUUCCCACAUGCCAGACAUGUUUUGUUAGAAUUAUCUUGUUUUACAUAUUGUACAGCACUGCAGAAUAAGUUGGCGCUAUAUAAAUAAAUGUGAUAGUAAAGGUGAUUUUCAAUGUUAACUGUGGAAAUAGUCUAAACAAGUGAGUCAAAAGACAAGACUUUAUUAACUUUGGAACAGACAAAUGAGUUUAAAAUUGAAUUAAUUCUUCCUCUAAGCAAAGUGCAUGUGUCAUGUAUAAGAAUAAUGUACAGACAUAAAAAUUGAAGGCGAAAAUUAGGAGCUAGAGUGACAUUGUACUGAUAUGUACCUGGCAUAGUACCAAAAUAUUCAUACUUCAAUAUUAUUAUUAUUAAUAAUAUUUAUAAAGCACCAAGUUCCUCAGUGCUGUAAAAUGGGUGGACUAACAGACAUGUAUUUGUAACCAGACAAGUUGGACACAGAGGAACAGAGGGUGAGGGUUCUGCUCAAUGAGCUUCCAUGCUAGAGGGAGUGGGGUAAAGUGACACAAAAGCUAAGGGUUGGGUAGAAAAGUAGGUUGCUAGGAUAGUAUUCACUGAGGGCUAAGUGUUGUUUUGAUGACAGCUGCAGGAGAGGAAUCAGGGUGCGAGGAGGGAAAUACACUUAGUCAUGAACAUCAACAGUUAUGGGCAAAUUAAGCAGACUUCAAAGUAAUAGCAAUUAAUGUAUAAUCUAUAACAAUUCACAUACUAUGAGACAAAAAUGCAAUUUAGAUCAUCAGUGCCAGCAUACAUUAAAAAAUUGCAUGCAUACGCAUAUUCUUUAUCAGUUAGAGUUUUUAUUUAAAUUUCUCUGAAAGACUACAAUAGGCAACUGAUAUGACAUCAUAAAAACACAAUAGGUUAUUUGGGCAAGAUACACUAGGUGAGCAAAGGGCAUCUCUCAUACUGGCACAUUACACAUUAGAAAAAUGUAUGUUAAUGCAUUUUUCAGUGAUUUCAAAAUUAACCAUAAUAAUAUUAGACAGAAACAUGGCACUAAGAAGACUUUUUAGCAUUACCUCAUACUUGGAAAAAAAAAAUCAUAAAGAAGAUAUAUUCACUUGUGCAUUACAGAGCAGACGGGGGAAGGAGGACAGGGAGGGAAAGGGAGGGGAGGGGUGAUUAAGGAAACAUUUUCCAUUGGCAAUAACAAUUCAUUUACAGUUUUCAUGUGACCUCGUGUCCUCACGUCACAUUAGUUAACAUUAAUAAACAUUUGCAAAUUUUAACUGCACCACUCAUUUUAGAAUAACAAACUGUACAUGUGUCUAACAUAAUAGUUGUCAUGAUGCAGCCAGCAGAGCUAAUAAAAUCAAUUCUACAAAUAUAUAGUCAGUGUAUUAUUUACUCAAAAUUAAAUUAAAACAAACAAACCAUGAAAUGAUGAAAUAAAAAUAAGCUUAUAAAAGGGAACAUAAAUAAAAUAAAAACCUUUUUCCAGUAACACUUCCUGCUAUUGAGGCUCUGACAGGAGGACAUGCUUAGAGGUGGAGAGGUGUGGCUCCUGGUUUGAGGGCAGCAGAGUGAUCUGGAAGGACCUUUGGGGAGGAGCGCAGAGCAUGCCGGAGACUCUAUGGUGGAAGUUGAAGAUGGUGCUGUGGAUGAGCCCACCAAGACAAUCAGCAAUUCGGCAAAUGAAGGAAUUCAAGUGCUUAGCCAGCUGCCUCCUCAAUGCACUCACUCCAGCCUGGUGCCAUCUGCAGUUUAAUUAACUGUAGUGACACAAACAUGGAAUGAAUCGCAUUUUGCGGCAUAUGGGGCUGCGUAGCUCUAUGGGGUGUGCUGGAACAACAAAUCCUAAACAUGGAGGCUCCAGCUUGCAACUUGCAGGACAUAAAGGAUCUGCUGCUAAUGUCUUGGUGCCAUAUACCACAUCAGAGGUGUCCAUGCCUUGAUGCAUCAGAGUUGUUUUGGCAGCAGGAGGAGGAGCUAUAUGGACAGUAUAUAUAUGUUUAUGAAUACCAAUCAAAGAAUACCUCCUUUUACAGAGGAAUGUGUAUAACAGAGUGUUUAUAAACAGAUACAGUGAUUUCCAAGCUGCUCAAUACACUUAUGUGGAAGUAUCCUCUAUUCCACGAAACAAACUUAGAAUUAUUAGUGCGGUGUAAGUGACAAAAGACUUAUACCAGUAAGUGGAGCGCUUUAACACAUAUAGCUUACCAAAUGGUUUCUCAUUCAAUAAAACAGUAUGAGGUGCAUGUCAAGGAAAAAAAAUAUAAAAGAUACAAUAUAGUGCAGACGGUUUUAAAAUAAUAAUACAAUAAUAAAAUAUUAGUGGUGGUGUCUUAAUAAAUGGAACACUCACAUUUUAAGGAGCCUGUAUGUAAGAACACUGGCUCCGUAUUUUGGCUUGUGUGCUUUUUAGGGUAGCACUGCCCGUCUCCUUCGAUGUGGGGUAUUUCUCAAAGACAAAAAAUAGGAGAAGCAGACCAAUGUGUAGAUGGUGUUUGUAAAACACAAUAUUUAUAGAAAUAAGUGGUGUGCUCACCUGGUCCUGAGCCUGUGGGUCCCGGCUAUAGGUAUAUGGGUAUUGUGCCAAUUUUAAUGGGGAUGGCACUACCCAUGGGAAGAUACUUUUGAGGUUUCCAAAAAAGGACUUAAAAGGAUCUUAAAUGAAAAUAAAUUUAUUCAAGUAUAAAACAAAAUAAAAACAAUGAUUAUAAAAAGUCCUUUAAAAAAGUAUAUAUAUGUUUGAAUAUAAAACCAUGGCAAUGAAGGCAUUCUCUUCUCCUUAUUGAUUAGAAUAUCAUAAUAAUAAUAAUCUCUCUUUUUUUUAAUUGCAAGGGUGGAACCACCAAAAAAAAACAAAAAAACACACACAGAAAUUCAAAGUUGUAUUCCCUACACUAUAGUUCCUCAUGCCUCCCCCCCGAUUCCAGCUCUUUUGUCCCUCAGCGCUGUGUUGGCACUCCACCUCCUCCACAUCAUACGACAGAGGUGGGGUUAAUGAGCAUGUGUGUCAAGCACCGCCCAUUAAGCCCAUUCAAUACUUUUCUGCAAGGAUUUUACGGGCGCUAGAUGUCCUCGUGCAGAGCGUGAGGACGUCCAGAGUCAGUUAAGUGACCAACAGUCACCUGGCAAGCAGGAAGUGACUCUAGUGGCUGUCUGAUUGACAGCCACUAGAGGCUGUCUUAGUCCUACAAUGUCAUUAUUACAGUUUCUCAGAAACUGCAAUGAUUUACAGUGGGACUGGGACACUGCACCCAGAUCACUAAAAUGACAUGAAGUGGUCUGGGUGCCUAUAGUGUCACUUUAAAUCAAAGGUGAAUAACGUUUCAUCCAUGAAUAAUAUCACACAGCACGUCAAUGUUUUGGACCUGACCUGAACUUGUGGCCCUUUCUCGCCAUGACUGCUGCAGUCCACUUCUCUUACGUGCUCCCACCUUGCCCUGUUACAGUUUAUAAUGAAUGCAGAUGCUCAUCUUUCUAUCUGCUCGCACCUCCCACGCCUCCGCCUCUCUGUCAGUCCCUGCAUAGGCUUCCUGUAAGAUAUAGGGCUCAAUUUAAAAUUCUGGUUCUUGCUCUAUCUAAUGCAGCUCCAACAUAUCUAUCCUCUCUAAUACACAAGUAUGUCCCAUCUGCCGAAAAACUACAUCUAUCCUAUGUUCAUACUCCCACUUCUAAUGCUCGUCUUCAAGACUUCUCUAAUGCUCGCCUUCAAGACCGUUUCUGUGGAACUUCCUUCCUUUCUUCGUUAGACGUUCAUCCAGUCUCCACUUCAAAAAUUAUCACUGAAAACGUACUUCUUGAACUCACUUAUUAAAAAAUAAUUUUAAAAAGCCCCACUAAAUCUUCAGUGAAUACUAUUCAACCAACCUAGUUUUUUACACCUACCCUUGUGUCAAUUUACCCCACUCCCUCUAGCAUGUAAGCUCACUGAGCAGGGCCCUCAACUGCUCUGUUCCUGUGCGUCUAACUCGUCUGGUUACAAUUACAUGUUUGUUAGUCCACCCAUUGUACAGCGUUACGGAAUUUGUAGGCGCUAUUUAAAUAAUAAUAAUAAUUAGACAUGCAAACCUAUAUUCCUAAUGCUAUAGUAUUCCUGUCUCUAGAUCUAUAUCGGCUCUACCGAUUUGCAAUAAACAUUUUAGAAAAUAAAACUUUUACUUAAAUUUUUACAAUGCAGGUAGUUUCUUCCCCUUCCACCAUGCCUCCUCCAUGAUGGUCUAGUCCAGGGGUAGGCAAUCUUUUAGCAGCACUAUGCCGAAAUUCGAUUGUGAUGUCCCGUAGCGUGUCGGUCCUGUUUCUUUAAAUUGAGGUGUGCCUGUUGCCAUAUUCUGCUUGUGUUAUUUAUACUGCAGUUGCUUUGUAUCGUUGUUUUUGUGCGUAUAUGAGCCACUAUAUUGUAUAUGUUCAUUAAUAGUUUGUGGUAUCAUGUAUAAUACCUAUGAAUUUGGGCUGUGUAUGAGGGCUGCUUGUGGAAUUGUGUGUAGAUGGAUAUGUCACAUUGUGUAUUUGGUAGUGUGUGUAUGUGUGGGGCUGUUUGGGGUAUUGCAUGUGAGAGGCUGCAUGUGGUGUUGUGUGCAUGUAUGUGGAUUGUUGGUGGUGUUGUGUUUGUGCGGACUGUGUGUGUGUUUGUAUUAUUUGUAUGAGGGGAGGGUUAUUCUGCAGCUCUGAGGCUUCCCUGGGUUUUAGUGGGGACCAGGCUGGCCAGGUACAGUUCAAGGACAGAAGCUGCAACAGGAAGCUGUGGGCUGCUCUACUCCAGUGUGGAUUCCACUGAGAUCACUUCCUCUACGUGCUGCAAUGCAUAAAUGGAGGAUUGUCCUUCACCACCUUUUCAUAUUAGCAGAUAUCUGAAGUUUCACUGGGACUCCUGACAGGCCAGAGCCUGUUUGGCUCUUGUAGCCUUGAGUGCCGUGCAAAGACACCUUGAGUGCCGUGAAUGGCACUAGUGCUGUAGGUUGCAUACCCCUGGUCUAGUCCAAUGUUUCUCACUGCAGAUCUAAUGCACAUGGGUUGUAAGCUUUCCCAUGCUCUCUCAUAGGAAAGCAUUGAGUUGAUACUUUCCUAUGGGGACUUCUGGAUUAGGUGACUGAGUUUUACUUGGCCACUGCCUCGGAAGAACAUCUAGUGGCAGUCAUACUGAUGCCACAAGAAAUGGACUUAGGUGACUAUAAUGUCCCUUUAAGCUCAAUGUAUCUGCCUUUGUUUUUUGGGGGAAGGGAGGAGCACUGGGAGCCUUAGAAUUCUAUGACUACUGGCAGGGCCGUUGCAAGGAUUCUUGCCGCCCAAGGCAACAAUACAUUUUGACGCCCCCUCAUGAAUGCAAUUACAUUCCCUCAGAGGUUUAUUCACUAAACUCUGAUUUACACUAAAGAGACAUUUAGGGAAAGAGGCGCACUGAGUAGAUAUUAAAGGGAAACUAUAGUGCCAGGAAAACAAACUUGUCAAGCGGCAGGGGUUAAAACCCCUUCUGUCACUUACCUGGGUCCAGCACCAAUGUCUUUUGUGCUGGUAUGGGUCCACCUUCGCUCCUCAAUGGCCACGCUCGCAGUGGUAUUUCCAUGACUGGACGUCCCCGUGCAUAGCCACUAGAGAAGUUAACCCAGAACGGUAAUUAUUGUAGUUUCUUAAAAAUUGCAAUAAUUACCUUUGCAGUGUCAUUUACACACUCUCACUGGCAUACACACUUACACAUUCUAACUAACUUACACACUCUAACACAUACACAUUCUCACUGACCUACACAUUGUCACUUGCACACUCUCACUGACAUGCACAGUGCCACUUGCACACUCUCACUAAUACUCACACUCUAACUUACACACUCUAACACCACACAGUGUCACUUACACAUACUCACUAAAAGUGUCACUUGCACACCCUCACUAACACACACACACAGAGUCACUUACACACUGACACUCAAACACAAACUCACUCACUCACAAACCACGUUACAUAAAGUCACACUUUAUUUACACACAUAAACACACCAAUUUAACACACACCCCCAAUUACAAACAUUCAUACUAUAAACAAUCCCCCAUGCCAUACCUGGGUGCUGUGAAGAUGAGAAGAGUCCAGGCACCAGGAUCCAGGAUGUUGUUCCUUCUUUCUCCUGGGGGAGCAGGAGAGCCGUGCACUGUGAGCACAGGCUACUUCCUGCUCCCUUCACAGUGCUUCCGGUGUUCACAGGCAGGGGGCAGCCAGGAUAGCCGGUCAUAUCCCGGCUUCCCCUGUCUGCAGGAAGCACAGUACUCUGCUCGGGCUACAUCAAACCCCACUGCCCGAGCAGGUAAUUGGCUGCAGAGGGAGCCCAGCAGCUGAAUGGCUGUGCUGGGAGGUGGCUAAGGAGCCGCUCGCCCAGCACAGCAUCCCCAGACAGCUACAGCAGGGUAGCCCACCAGGAAACUUCUCGGUGGGCGCCCCCCCAGAGGCCAGAACCCAGGCGAAUGCCUUAUUCGCCUUAAUGGUAGUGCCGGCCCUGACUACAGGCACCUGACAUGUAAUUCUAGCCCUGAACACAUUUUUACAAAGUUAAGUGAGACUCAUGGCUAGGCUAUUGCAAUGUGGACGUUUUCAGUAAGGUGAAUUGUUAUUAGUGGCAACCUGUUAAAUCUUUCCAACAAGGUAGGAAAUAUAUUAGUGUACUUAGUUACUACUAACUGCUAGCUCUUGUUAGUGUUAGCUUGCAGCUGCUGUACUAAUAAGGUUGUAAAAGAGUACUCAGAGUCUUGUUAUUAGCAGAUAUCACACAUUGUAUCUAAGCAACUCAUACCCUGGAGUUCAUUGGUCAAACUACUUACCACUGGACAAAUUUCAUGGCCAAGUUUACCAAAAGUGGCUGCUAUGAGGCUUUUGAGUAUUUAUCAUGCCCCUGCAGUCUCACUGCUCAAUUCUCUGCCAUCUAGGAGUUAAAUCACGUUUGUUUCUAUUUAUGCAGAUAUGACACAGCCUGCAUGAAAACAAAAUUGUUACAUUUUCAGUCAGAUGUAACUUACUUUAAAAGUUUGUAUCUCAUGCUCUGUAAAUUGAAUUUUAAUUACAUACAGGAGGCUCCUGUAGGGUCUAGCAAGCUAUUUACAGAGCAGGAGAUAAGACAUUCUAAAUUAAACAGAAUUUGCAAUCAAGGAAGUGUAAACAGUAGAUGACUCUAUACAGGAAGUGUUUAGGAAGGCUGUAUAAGUCACAUGCUGAGAAGUGUGACUAGGGCUGUAUAAGCAAAUUGAUUUAACUCCUAAAUGGCAGGGAAUUGAGCAGUGAGAUUGCAGGGGCAUUAGCUACACAUCAAAACUGCUUCAUUAAACUACAGUUAUUUUAGUGACUAUAGUGUCCAUUUAAGGGAGAAAAAUGUCUCUUCAUAGUGGCAGAACUGCAUUAUUUAAAUUACAUUAUUAUACAUUAAACAUAAAACAUUGAGUCUAUUAACAGGAAGAAAUCACACAUUGUAUCUAUGCAAUACUGAAGAAGUUAAUGUCUAACGAUUCAUAUUAUGAAUAAAUGAAAAUGCAACAUAAUAUCCGGGCUACAAACACAUGGGUGAGUAACAAGGAAAAUAUUUGCUAUUCCAACCAAGUAAUGGGCUGUGGUCAGAGAACUCAAUUUUUAGCCUUUAAAAAUCAUUAAUCCACAACGGUACCAUUACAUUUUACAGAUGUCUGCAGGAGGAUUACAGAGUGCAAGACUUGCUAUGGAAAAGGUAAUUUAAGGCAAUAUUGUUCAGAAACUGGAUACAAGUCUGGCAGUUUUGAAACUAAACAUACCAUAAACAUUUUUUUGUAAAUUAAAAUACAAAAAUCACCAAAUAAAAAAAUAAAAUUAAUAAAAGAGGGAAAACAUGACUAAAAUAUUAUAUUUCUAAAUAGUUUAUUGGUACAAAAUUAUUAGAUGUUUUUUGGUAAAGGACACUAUAUAUUUACCCACAAUUCUCAGAGGCCUACUACAUACGGAAUAUAAUUUCCCUUCUGCUGUUUCUUCAACAGAAUUUUAGUCACAUGACUCAGAAUGUGUCUUUGACAUAAUAAGCCUUCUUAUAGACACAGCUACAUAAAAUGUUAUGUAUUCUAAUAUAUAUAUUACACCGAUAAAAUUAGAUAGCUUGACAAAGGCCCUGUUGUGGGCCAAAAUGUUGUUUUGAUUCUGCUCCAAUAAAUCUGCCCACUGCAUUGAACUUGAGUGCCUGGACCAUCAUUACUCUUUUGCAAAUCACAUUGUGAGGAUUGGCCAACUUCAGGUCCGGUUGCACCCUGGGAUCCAGGAGAGUGCAGUAUUGAUUCCCAACGACUAUCGAUCCCUACUGUCUCCUGUCCCUCACUGGCUAUUUCCUCAUAUAACACUACCCUCACCUCUGCAGCCCCGCUCCAAAGAGAACACACCCCCAACUGUGGCACACUAAAUUAACACGCUACCCUUCAGAUUUUCUCUCAGGCUACUGAACAAGAGGUGGCUGCGCUUCUCCUUUCCUCUCGCCCCAUCACUUGCCCGCUUGAUCCUCUCCUGUCUCACCUUAUCAGAUCUAUCUCCUCUUGUCUCGUGCCUUCCUUAAUACACAUCUUUAACUGCUCUCUCUCUUCUGGUGUUGUCCCUGCUGCCCUUAAACAUGCUACUGUAGCACGCUUUGUCUUUACCCGUCUGACUUGUUUCCUCAAUUCCAACUCUCUCCUUGACCCUCUUCAGUCUGGCUUCCGUCCCCUCCACUCUACUGAGACUGCUCUUAUUUAGGUCACUAACAACCAUACUAAUUCUUCUUGAUCUCUCUGCUGCCUUUGACACUGUUGACCAUGUUCUGUUGACUCUGUCCUUGGUCCCCUUCUAUUUUCUCUUUAUACUGCCUCUCUUGGCAAACUUACUACAUCAUUUGGAUUCCAAUACCACCUGUACCCUGAUGACACUCAGAUAUAUCUCUCCUCCCCGGACCUCUCCCCUGCCAUCCUGCAACGUGUCACUGCUUGCCUUUCUUCCAUCUCUGACUGGAUGUCCUCCAGAUUUUUGAAACUCAAUCAUUCUAAAACUGAACUCCUUUUUUUCCCCUCCUCCUAAUACUAAUCCUCCUCCUUCACUCUCCCUUCAAGUUAGUUGUACCCACAUCAGUUCAUCCUUGCAAGCAUGCUGUCUUGGCGUUAUACUUAAUUCUGGCCUCACAUUUGAGUCUCACAUCCAGUCUGUUACCAAAUCCUGUAAAUUCCACCUUAAAAACCAUAGCCCGCAUUCGUCCCUUUCUUAUGCAAGAUGCUACUGAGGAGCUUGUCCAUGCUGUAGUAAUCUCUUGCAUGGAUAAUUGUAACUCUCUCCUAAUAGGUAUUCCCGCAAGCCGUAUUGCCCCGCUACAGUCUGUAAUGAAUGCUGCAGCUAGACUGAUUUACUCUCCUGUCACUAUUCUCACGCAUCUCCCCUCUGUCAGUCCUUACAUUGGCUUCUUGUAUCCUAUAGGAGUCAAUUCAAGGUACUAAUCCACACCUAUAAAACACUGACCAAUUCUAGCCCCUCCUAUAUAUCUUCACUUAUCCGCAGGUAUGCCCCUUCUCGGUCUCUCCGCUCUGCCCAUGACCUUCGCCUAUCCACUGCCAGUACGGCCAACUCUUGCAAGACUUCUCGCGGGCAGCUCCGUUCCUUUGGAAUAGCCUGCCUACGACCAUCAAGCUCUCCCCUAGUCUUCAAUCUUCUAAAAAGUGUCUCAAAUCCCAUCUCUUUAGGAAAGCUUAUGGCCUCCCAGAGUAACCUGUACCUCACAGAGAAAGACAGGAAAAUGACAGUUACAUUUUCUAUGAAAGUUGGUUUGUGAUAACUCUCAGACCAGUCCAGUCAACAGCUAGAAAAUGUUAUCGAUAUCAGUGGGGAAUUGUUGUUUACAUCUAUAUAAAAAUGAACAAAAAAAAACUGUUUAGGUAUUUAUACGAUAUACACAAUACUGCCAUCGAGAGGGCCAGGAUUGAAUGAGGAAAUUCAGCCAUUAUGUGAUCCCGGCAGAAGCUGAUCUAAUUUGCAGACAAAGGUCUCGAUUUAAUAAGCUUUCCAAAUGCUUCAAUGCGGUUACAAAAACUUUGCAAAUGAUUUGUCUAUGGAAGUCAUCGUUAAAGUCUCUGGGGAUUUUUGUCGAUAAAUCAUUUGGAAAGUGUUUUCUAACAGUAUUAAAUCAUUUGGAAAUCUUAUUAAAUUGAGGCCAAAGACCCGGAGGAAAGUAGCAUAUCAUUAUAUACAGAAUUACACUCCAUGUGAAGGUAUAUAUAUAAUCCACUAUUCUAUAACCGAGGCAAGGAUGUUAAAUAGCUUUAUAUGUUUUGCAUUAUUUGAUUAUAUAUUUUAUUGAAAAUGGUUUGUUGUCCAACUGCAAUGUGCCUGGAGGCAUUAGCCUUAUAUAACUGCAAAAAGUGUGCUAUACAGAAUGAAAAAUAUUGAUAUAAUUCUUGAAAGGACAUUGUUGCCUCUUCUGUAAUUCCAGGGGCCUGUUGGUUAGUGGCAUCUAUGUACGUAUUUUUCAGCUCUAAGUAAUACUUUUUCUAUUUUCUACACAGUUCAUAUUUGUAGAGGGGGGGGAGGGGGGGGGGGAACCACCCUAGAAUUCUGUAUCUACAGGCACAGAGUCUUAAAUAUGGCAUUGACCACAAGAAAUAUUUGACUAUAACGAUUUAUUUAUUUUAUUUAUUACUGGCAUUUAGAAAGCGCCAACAUAUUCCACAGUGCUGUAUGAGAUUAGACUGAGUAAACAACAAACUAGAUUUUAAAUAUGGUAUGGAAUGAAAUAAGGUAAUUAUUAACAAUGAAUUCUGUAAUAUGAUAUAAUAUCCCUUUAUUAUGAUUAGAACAUAUAGACUGACAUUUGGAGUGAUGGAUAGUUUAAAAAGUGUCUUCAGCUUGCGCUUUCUUAAUUGUUUGGUGUUUACAAUAGGUGGGCAAAAGAAGCCAAUGAGACUCUCCAAUAAAAUAAAUUUAUUCAUAACAAUGGACUGUUCCUUUAAAUCAGGUAACAUCGGUGGCAGAGAAACAAUUUACUCAUCUCUUUCAUUAGGUACUUUUCUCCUUUCACUAUAGUUUACACAUUACAGACGAGACAUACAUACAUUUUAUAUAUGCAUAUUUAUAGACUGGCAACAUUCUACAGCAAAUGUGUAAGGUUUGUACACACAAACAUGGAAACAUAAUCACUAAUUUUAAAGUAACCAAGCUGUGACUAUAGUAGAGUGAUUGAGUAAGCUAAAUUUGACUGAAUUUAGCAUUUCACUGUCCUGUUCAUUACAGCUCAGAGUUUAGUAAAAAAAAAAACUUUGUAUAGAUUAUAUUGUAUUGAUUUUUUUUUGGCCAUACUUCAUGUUAAUUUUUAAAAUAGGCAGAUAUGCCAACACAAUAUUGGGUUCAAAUUAAUAUUGUUGGACAAACUUUCAACAUAGUUUAACAUUUUUGGAUAAACUUUUAAAAUAAUUUGUUUCCAAUAUUAAAAUAUCAAAGAUAUAUGAAUACAGAAAAAUAUAAAAAUAUUACAAAACCUUUCCUCCUCUCCUAAUCUAACCCUGAUACAGAACCCUCAAUAAACCAGUGCCUACAAAAAUAUACAAUGAGUACAGGCAAUGCCCAGAAAUAAGAGACUAGAAUUUGAUGUAGGCAGGUGGGACCGAAGGAGCCCAGAACCCCCAUAAGGUUUGGAGAAUCUAGGAACCUAAACAGCUCACUCUCCUUGGGAUGGUUCAACUUGCUCGGUGACACCUCCACUAACACGACAUUUACCGGUAUAUGAUGAAACCUCAACUGUAAUUCGGAGUAUACAUCGAGGGAUGAGCCGCCCAUAUAGUACUCCUUAUCAAUCCUCAUUAUUUCUUGAGUUGCAAUAAGAGAACUUUGUAAGCUUUCACUGUUUUAUUCUAAAUCUCAAUGCAUAUGAAUAUUAACAUCUUGAUCUAAACUCCCCUGUGAGGGAUGGUCUUUGCUAAAUUUGGAAUCCAUAAAACUCAUUAAAUAAAAUUCUUAAUUUUUUCAAAACAAAUAAUUUUGAAACUUUAUCCUCAAUAUUACAAUAUUAAAUCAAGGCCAAUUUUUGUAAUAUAGAGUACGUGUGACAAAGAAAAUCAUAGUGUGUAUGAGGAUAUAUACACACAUACAAAUAUGUAAACACACAUUGCCUAUCUACACACAUGUAUGACAGAUCCCUUCCUUCAUGUCCACCCCCACACUUUUUGUUUUUGAUGAGUGAGCAGAACUCUGUGGCAGGUAAAAUGAUCCUUUAUGUGCACUAAGCCACAGGGGACAUUUAAAAAGUCAAUCAUUCAGCCAGGAAAACAUUUUUUCCCUUGGUUCUUAUGUUUCAGCUGAUUUGACCAAAGCAAGAAAAAAAGAAAAGGCAAAAGUACAGAAAAAAAAUCUUCUCGUGAUAACUUUAGGAAGAUUUAAUCGAGGUUUUGUGUAUGAAUAGGUCCCCCUCAAAAUAAUACAUUAAUUCUGCGAAGAAAAAACAAAUUGUGUAUUGAUAGAGAUUGGAGCUCAAUGUUAUAAACCGUGUUCCGUACACUGGAUGUAAGUUCUACCACCACCUCGUUAUUCUUUAUAUUGUAGGGUAUUUUUUUAGGAAGGUUUUAGAAGCUCUGAACUUAACCUUCAGGGUUAUUCACUAAUGAGAGAAAUGCUGGGAACUCAAAGUAAAUUCCUACUUUAAAAUUAGCCAAAGUAAAAGCAGAUUAGACCAGGAGAAUUUUUUUUCCCUUUCGCUAUUUUGGCCUAAAUUUAGACAUUUUAACUCCAGUCAAUUCUCACUUUGGUGAAUAACUCUGAUAGGGUUGUAUAGAUGAAUGCUGUGUCUGAUACAUCACUAACUUUUCUUCUGGAACGUCAAACCUGUCUUGGUAAAUUUACUUGUACCAGUGCGUGCUAAUCAGGUGGCUGUGUGGGCGGUCCACCUCACAUGACAGGUGGCAGGAGGGUGCAUAGAGCUUCCCCCUCCUAUCUGGUAAGUGCCCGCUUUGCCAGUUUGAGUAGACCAUGAAGUGGGUAGUGAGGGAGCUGCUGGGAUCAUUCUGUACUCUUGCUGCCCUAUACUGAUGGCCUUAAGCCAGGAUGUAAUAUAACCCCAGCUGCAGUGUCAGUUCAGAACUGCAGGGAGCUGCUCAAUUAGUGCACAGUGAUCUCACCAACAAACCACUAGGCAACAAGGAUAAUUAAAUGAAUAUGAGAUUGCAUGAACGUGAGCAUGUGUGCGUAAUUUUACUACAAAAAACGGCAGUGCAAAGUGACACAUGCACACACACAAAAAAUCUACAGACUGAAGGGUCAGCGCAACAUACAUUUCUUCCCUGGGUGGCAGGUCUUGUACGCCUUAAACGUGCAUUAUACAAUGCUGUCACUUUGUAAAUAAUAAUAAAGGCAUGCAUAGAGCAGGAGUGGGCAAAUAUAUACACAUUGGAAGGAGUUAUUGAUUUACAUGUAUUCAUUACAAAGUGAGUAAUUACAAAUGGAGGCAAUAUAACGUGUUUAUUUUUUUAUUUGACAUCUAAUUUCAAUAAUAAGAAUCAGGACAGUUUUCCUUCAAAUAACUAAAAGGAUUGUAUUAGAUUCUGUAGAUGAUAGUAUCUUCACCCUCUGCGUGUUCUUUACUCCUCAGCCAGCUGUCUGUCCAUCAAAACAGUCUUCUCAGCGUCAUGAUUUACUGGAAUGUGCCACACAUGGCAUUCAUGAACCUCAGCCUGGCCAAACCAGACCCUUGCUCUAAAUGUUACCACAAUCCUGUG